AGACCUCCACGGUUCGGACCUACUCCUGCUGAACCCCCACCCUCCCGCCCCGGGUCUGACGGGGUGUGCCCGUGACUCGGGCUCACUCCCACUAUCUCUACGGACACAUGCUCUCCGCCUUCCGGGACUAGCCACGGCCCCCAGGGCCGGCUCCCUCCCGAGCUAAAUGGCUCUGCCAGCCCUGAUCCCUCCUGCUCGGUUCCCUGCCUCCCACGGCCCCUAGUCUUGUCUGUGACGUUCCAGUUGUCCUGGAGCUCAGAAUAUUCUCGUCCACCCCCUCGAUAACCCGCUGCCCCAAGGACCACCCUCCCCUGCCACCUCCACCCUCUCUGUCCGUCUUUGGUGGACUUGGCUGUGGGGUGCCCAGAGGUGUGGAGGCACCCAGGUUGCCCAUGCUUGGGACUCUAGGGGAGGGGCAGGAUGGCCAUCCGGGGGCCGUUCGAACCCACCCCCUCUCUUCUGGACCUCACCUGGUCUGGACUUUGACUUCUGCGGGGACCAGGGACCAGGCCCCUGGGUCAAGGGCUUGGGAUGACCUUUCCAAGAAAAAGGGUGCCUCAGACUCUGUCCCCCUCUGGGGGCUCUUCUGCCUUCUGGGUCCUUGCUGUGCCUGAUGGUCUAACAUCUGGAUUUGGCACCCCCAGUCCUAUCCUUCCCCCUGCUGGUUUUCACAACCACAGCUCUGAGGGUGUCUCUCUUGAGAGGCCAGGCCACAUCCUCCCUCGGGAUGGUGACACUGGAGGGAGUCUAGCCUAAACAGAUUCCCAAGUGUGAGUCGUUAGGGCAGACUUGAGAGAAAUAGGCCCCAGAGCUUAGGGCCAAUGGGUGAGGAUGGGGAAACUCAGCCCUGUCCACCUCAGCCAGGGAGAUGUGUAGGCAGUCAGCCUGAGGGAGGGCCAAUGACCUCAGGUAGCACCAGGCCUCCAGGGCAGUGGGGAAGGAAAGCCCCUGCCCCAACCAUUAGGUGGCACUGCAGCUGGCCGAGGGGUGGAGGAGACCAGGUCUAGCCGUGUACUGCCAAUGAUGCGCCCAGCAUCCUUCUCCUCCUCGCCGUCCUCCCUCUGCCUCACUUUAGUCACCCCAGCCCUGUGAGCGUAAACAUGAUGGGUGUUUCAAAUACACACGGACCCUCAACUCAGUUCGGGGGGCAAAGGUGGCCAGAGGCUUCCUUCCCCCUGACCUCCCAGGAAGAAAAUAACCCUGCCCUUCCCUGAGUCAUGUUCCCAGUCCAGUAAGACCAACGUUGGUCAGGGUAAUCACCCUCCUUCCUGUCCCCAAGUGCCCUACCCCUUGAUCAGGGCUCUCUUGGUGUUCAUGAGCUGCCUCCAGAAAUUUCCAGACCCUUCCUUCCGGCUUCCAUCAUUAUAAUGGCUUUCCCCAGCAGCAUGGUAGGAACCGGGACUGAGCUAAACAGUCCUAGUGUGGUAAGAAUGACUAUCCCUACGGCCUUCCUCUUCCUUGCCUACUCUCUCUGCCUGUCAAGGUGCCUGCAGCUAACAGGGACCCACGUUCCAGGUGGGUUGGUGGAACCCAGGGCUGGCUUCCUGAGAAACGCUUCUGGAGUGGUUUCUCAGAGAGGGGCCAAGGUAGUGCCAUCCUCCAGGGGGCUGGGGCAGCUAGUUUGCAACCUGAUCCACUGGGUUCUCAGCAGGGGUGAGGCUAGCAGUGGGGACCAUGGGCCAGAGUACCCCAGUCUGGAAGGAGUGCUACAGCCUGGGGCUUAGGGCUUGCUUAGCGCACUGUAGAGGGAGCUCCAUGGUGGAUGUGGCUGGGUGGGCCCAACCCUAGGCUUGGGUGCUGUACCCACCUGGUCUCGGUCUCCCUCCUUGGAUGGAUCCUGCCCUCCCUGACCAUCAUGCCUCUCGGGAGGAGCUGGGGGAGUUGGGGAGCAGAAAAUGAGUUGGGUGGCAAGAAAGAUGCCUGUGGAUCAUGGAUGUUAUGAUCAGGAAGCCCCAGAUUCCGAAGACUGGUGGGCUUGGGGACCACAAAAACCAUUUGCAUCCUUCAGAGGACUCUCAGUGGGCUAGCUGUUAUGGGAGAUUCAGCCCCCGCCUCUCCUCCAGAACUCACCCCUAGCAGAAAGCAGCAGCCGGAAUUGGGGAAUGGGGCCAUUCUAGGCAUCUUGGGAAGGAAGGGCUGCUGCGAGGUGAUGGCGCAGAGGAACCUGUGCUCAUCAUCCAUAGAUGGUUUUGUUUGGAGAGCGCCAGUGACCCAUGCCCUCUUCACCAGCCUCCUGUAUCUCGUCAGGUCCCUUCUCAGUACUGUACUGGCUCAGUGCAUCAGAAUGGGUGCGUGUGGUUGUGGGUGUGAGUGCGAGUUUGUAUGUGUCUGUACCAAUAAACAACCUGGUUUUAAAACAA